rnacentral:rRNA from 1 species
GUCCGGAUUUAUUGGGCGUAAAGGGCUCGUAGGUGGUUGAUCGCGUCGGAAGUGUAAUCUUGGGGCUUAACCCUGAGCGUGCUUUCGAUACGGGUUGACUUGAGGAAGGUAGGGGAGAAUGGAAUUCCUGGUGGAGCGGUGGAAUGCGCAGAUAUCAGGAGGAACACCAGUGGCGAAGGCGGUUCUCUGGGCCUUUCCUGACGCUGAGGAGCGAAAGCGUGGGGAGCGAACAGGCUUAGAUACCCUGGUAGUCCACGCUGUAAACGGUGGGUACUAGGUGUGGGGUCCAUUCCACGGGUUCCGUGCCGUAGCUAACGCUUUAAGUACCCCGCCUGGGGAGUACGGCCGCAAGGCUAAAACUCAAAGGAAUUGACGGGGCCCCGCACAAGCGGCGGAGCAUGCGGAUUAAUUCGAUGCAACGCGUAGAACCUUACCUGGGUUUGACAUGGAUCGGGAGUGCUCAGAGAUGGGUGUGCCUCUUUUGGGGUCGGUUCACAGGUGGUGCAUGGCUGUCGUCAGCUCGUGUCGUGAGAUGUUGGGUUAAGUCCCGCAACGAGCGCAACCCUUGUUCACUGUUGCCAGCACGUUAUGGUGGGGACUCAGUGGAGACCGCCGGGGUCAACUCGGAGGAAGGUGGGGAUGACGUCAAGUCAUCAUGCCCCUUAUGUCCAGGGCUUCACGCAUGCUACAAUGGCUGGUACAGAGAGUGGCGAGCCUGUGAGGGUGAGCGAAUCUCGGAAAGCCGGUCUCAGUUCGGAUUGGGGUCUGCAACUCGACCUCAUGAAGUCGGAGUCGCUAGUAAUCGCAGAUCAGCAACGCUGCGGUGAAUACGUUCCCGGGGCUUGUACACACCGCCCGUCAAGUCAUGAAAGUUGGUAACACCCGAAGCCGGUGGCCUAACCGUUGUGGGGGAGCCGUCGAAGGUGGGACUGGUGAUUAGGACUAAGUCGUAACAAGGUAACC